rnacentral:lncRNA from 1 species
AUGUUUUUCAGGCCACGUUUAGAGGGGACCGACGAGUUAACUUUGGAAACAAAUUCACCAUUCUUCACACGGACACGCCUCCAUAUAAUUUGUCUUGGCCAGUGGAGGAAGGCGAAUAUUAUCUCUUCCAUUUGUUCGAUCCGGACGUUCCGAGUAAGCGAGAUCCCAGGCUACGUGAAUAUAGGCAUUGGACAGUCGCAAUAUUCCAGGGACAAAUGUGGAAAAGGGAUACGUACUAGCAGAAUAUAUUGGACUAAUACGAAAUCACACAAAAGACAUGCUUCAUCGGAACGUGUUCGUUCUGUACAAGCAACCCGAAAAAUUGGAAUUUGACGAUGUUGUAAUCAAGCGCGAUGCGCCAUACUUGGAUCGGGCUUGUUUCUCACACAAAGGUUUUGCACGUGAACAUCGACUGGGGAAACCAAUCGCUGUCAACUUUUUCCAUUAGUUACUGUCACUACUAUUCGUCAACGGUCACCUUGUUAGAUAGUUUCUAUUUUCAUUUUUCUCCUUCUGAUUUCGCAGAAAAUAUCUGGGAUUGCGAAUACUAUUUAAUUUUAUUCAACAUGCAGUAAAACAACACACAUUUAAUCACACAACAAUGAAAACAACUAUGAAAACUCGUAUUUCCAUAGUAGUGCUAUUCCGACAUUUUUUUAGGAGGAACCCAUUUUUAAUUUUCACACGAGACUCUGAGGAAAUAUCUAGGUAUAUAAAGAAGCAAGAAAACAUUACAAACAAUGAAGUUUUGAGUAAAAUCACAUAAUUAUUCAUGCCUGAAAAAAAAUAAAACGUAACAGAAAAUUUGAAAUAUCGCAAACAAGAAUUGUAUAGUGUUGCAUUUCCAAAAUCGAUAUUGCCUUCAAAAGUAACAAUGCUUGCCUUGCCUUGUUUUUAAAUAUCUUGUCUGGUCUUGAGCAUUGGCAUUAAAUUAUGCUGAAUAUGAGAACUUUUCCCCACAUGUAAUGUAAAUAAUGAAAAUUUGACAAUCAACCUAGCUAUACUGAAGCGAGGAUUUUCUUGGCUCUCUUACUUUAAAGCAAAAACUACAUUUCAAACCUCUGUGGGAAGCCAGAUUUAUAUAUAUUUUCAUUUUGGUUUAAUCAGUUAUUAAUGCGUCAAUUUGGAAUGUAGUAUUUAAAGAUUGACGAACGUUGAAAGAAUAAUCAAUUCUCAAUUUAUCAUAAUUGCAGUUGUUUGGCGCCCUUACUCUGAAGUUAUCAUAUAGAGACAGCCAUUGAACUAAUUGAGAUCGUAUCUCGGACAUUAUUUGAUUGUUUGAUAAUAAGUCUAGACGAAGUGUCACAGAAAUUUGAGCGUAUCGUAAUAUUCUGUCCAUCUGAAAAAGUUACCUAUAUUUUGUUGUUUAUCACUUUUUUGUUAUUUUGAACCUCGGAGAGAUAGAGGCGGGUGUGCAACUUUUGAUUAAUUCUGAUAAAAUCUGUUUCCACUUACAAAAUUUUCGAUUAAAUAAGUAACCAGUUACAAAGGGUGAAAUACAGAGGUGCAAAAUUGCAAAAGCGUUAACAAGGAAAGAGGUGGAUUUUUCGAAGUAGAAUCAAGUGUUCAAUUUUGAAGUAGGUAUUUCAAUUGGACGGGUAUAACGUCAACUUUGUGAAUUCUAGUCUUACUCUUGUGCCUUGUCAUGGAGCAUGUGCUAUUCCUCACCGAGAAUCAAUUUAUCGUGUUAUGAAUGCAAAAAACUACAAAUAUCAUCAAACAAUAAUAAG